AAAUAUGGCGAGCGACUCCCCGGCGCGGAGCCUGGACGAGAUAGACCUCUCGGCGCUGCGGGAUCCUGCAGGAAUCUUUGAAUUGGUAGAGCUCGUUGGCAAUGGUACCUACGGGCAGGUCUAUAAGGGUCGUCAUGUUAAAACAGGCCAGCUUGCUGCUAUUAAGGUUAUGGACGUCACCGGGGAUGAAGAGGAAGAGAUCAAACAAGAAAUUAACAUGCUGAAGAAAUAUUCUCAUCACCGAAAUAUUGCUACGUAUUAUGGUGCUUUUAUUAAAAAGAACCCACCAGGAAUGGAUGAUCAGCUCUGGCUGGUGAUGGAGUUCUGCGGCGCGGGCUCCGUCACUGACCUCAUCAAGAACACCAAGGGGAACACCUUGAAGGAGGAGUGGAUUGCCUACAUCUGCAGAGAGAUUCUGCGGGGCUUGAGUCAUCUACACCAGCACAAAGUAAUUCAUCGAGACAUCAAGGGACAGAAUGUAUUGCUGACGGAAAACGCAGAAGUGAAGCUAGUGGAUUUUGGUGUCAGUGCCCAGCUGGACAGGACGGUGGGCAGGAGGAACACCUUCAUUGGAACGCCUUACUGGAUGGCCCCCGAGGUCAUCGCCUGCGAUGAAAAUCCCGACGCCACUUACGACUUCAAGAGUGACUUGUGGUCUCUGGGGAUAACAGCCAUCGAGAUGGCCGAAGGUGCUCCCCCUCUGUGUGACAUGCAUCCCAUGAGAGCCCUCUUCCUCAUCCCCCGCAACCCGGCCCCGAGGUUGAAGUCAAAGAAGUGGUCCAAAAAGUUUCAGUCCUUCAUUGAGAGCUGCCUAGUGAAGAACCACAGCCAGAGACCAACCACGGAGCAGCUGAUGAAGCACCCGUUCAUCCGAGACCAGCCCAACGAAAGGCAGGUCCGCAUCCAGCUCAAGGACCACAUCGACAGGACUAAAAAGAAGCGAGGAGAGAAAGAUGAGACAGAGUAUGAGUACAGUGGAAGUGAGGAGGAGGAGGAGGAAAAUGACUCUGGAGAGCCGAGCUCCAUCCUGAACCUGCCCGGGGAGUCGACGCUGCGGCGGGAUUUCCUGCGGCUGCAGCUGGCCAACAAGGAGCGCUCGGAGGCGCUGCGGCGGCAGCAGCUGGAGCAGCAGCAGCGCGAGAACGAGGAGCACAAGCGGCAGUUGCUGGCCGAGCGGCAGAAGCGCAUCGAGGAGCAGAAGGAGCAGAGGAGGAGGCUGGAGGAGCAACAGAGGCGGGAGAAGGAGCUGCGGAAGCAGCAGGAGCGGGAGCAGCGCCGGCACUACGAGGAGCAGAUGCGGCGGGAGGAGGAGCGGCGGCGCGCAGAGCACGAGCAGGAGUACAUCAGGCGACAGUUAGAGGAGGAGCAGAGACAGUUAGAGAUCCUGCAGCAGCAGUUGUUGCAGGAGCAAGCGCUACUUCUGGAGUACAAGCGCAAGCAGCUGGAGGAGCAGCGGCAGGCGGAGAGGCUGCAGAGGCAGCUCCAGCAGGAGAGGGACUACCUGGUGUCCCUGCAGCAGCAGCAGCAGCAGCAGAGACAGGACCAGAGGCCAGCAGAGAAGAAACCCCUCUACCAUUACAAAGAAGGGAUAAAUGCCAGCGAGAAGCCAGCGUGGGCCAAGGAGGUGGAGGAGCGCUCCCGGCUCAAUCGCCAGAGCUCGCCGGCCAUGCCCCACAAGGUGGCCAACAGGAUCUCUGACCCCAACCUGCCUCCCCGCUCCGAGUCCUUCAGCAUCAGCGGCGUGCAGCCAGCCCGGACCCCGCCCCUGCUCCGGCCCGUGGACCCGCAGAUUCCACAUCUGGUCACUGUGAAAUCCCAAGGAAGCUCCUUGUCUGGGUCUCAGUCACUGCAUGAACAGCCUGCAAAGGGACUGGCUGGGUUUCAGGAGGCUCUGACGGUGACCUCUCACCGCACUGAGAUGCCAAGGCAGAACUCGGACCCCACCUCAGAAAACCCUCCUCUGCCCCCUCGCAUUGAAAAGUUUGACCGAAGUUCUUGGUUACGGCAGGAGGAAGACAUUCCACCAAAGGUGCCUCAACGAACCACUUCCAUAUCCCCUGCCCUGGCAAGGAAGAACUCCCCGGGCAAUGGCAGUGCCCUGGGGCCCCGGCUGGGCUCCCAGCCCAUCCGGGCAAGCAACCCAGACCUGAGGAGGACAGAGACCAUCGUGGAGAGCCCCUUGCAGAGGACCAGCAGUGGCAGCUCCUCCAGCUCCAGCACUCCCAGCUCCCAGCCCAGCUCCCAGGGUGGAUCCCAGCCUGGCUCCCAGGCUGGCUCCAGCGAGCGCAACAGAGUCAGAGGGAAUGCCAAGCCUGAAGGGUCCCCUGUGCUCUCCCAUGAGCCUGCCAAGGUCAAGCAGGAGGACAACAGGGACGUGACACGACCGAGCCGACCCGCUAGCUAUAAGAAAGCUAUAGAUGAGGGAGAAAUGGAUCUGACGGCUUUAGCCAAAGAGCUGAGGGAGCUGCGCAUCGAGGAAACCAAUCGCCCCCUGAAGAAGGUGACGGACUAUUCCUCCUCCAGCGAGGAGUCAGAGAGCAGCGAGGAGGAGGAGGAGGAUGGCGAGAACGAGACACACGAUGGGACCGUGCCUGUCAGUGACAUCCCACGGCUCAUACCAACAGGAAUCCCUGGAAGCAACGAGCCCUACAACCUGGGAAUGGUGACAACCCACGGGCUAGAGACUUCCCACGCAGAUACGUUUAGCAAUAUUUCAAGGGAAGGGACUUUAAUGGUGAGGGAGACCUCUGGUGAAAAAAAGCGUUCUGGCCACGCAGCCAGCAAUGGCUUUGCAGGUCACAUCAAUCUGCCUGACCUGGUGCAGCAAAGCCACUCGCCGGCGGGCACGCCGACCGAGGCCCUGGGGCGAGGCUCCACGCAUGCGCAGGACAUGGACUCGGUGCCUGAAUAUGGUAUGGGAAGUAGCACCAAAGCCUCUUUCACCCCCUUUGUGGACACCAGAGUGUAUCAGACCUCACCUACCGAUGAAGAUGAAGAUGAGGAUGAAGAGUCAUCCACCAAUCCCCUGUUCACCAGCGAGCUGCUGAGGCAGGAGCAGGCCAAGCUGAACGAGGCGCGCAAGAUCUCGGUGGUGAACGUGAACCCCACCAACAUCCGCCCGCACAGCGACACCCCCGAGAUCCGCAAGUACAAGAAGCGCUUCAACUCGGAGAUCCUCUGUGCUGCCCUCUGGGGUGUGAAUCUCCUGGUGGGCACUGAGAACGGGCUGAUGCUGCUGGACCGAAGUGGGCAGGGCAAGGUCUACAACCUCAUCAACAGGCGGCGCUUCCAGCAGAUGGACGUCCUCGAGGGCCUCAACGUCCUCGUGACAAUAUCAGGAAAGAAGAACAAGCUGCGUGUGUACUACCUGUCCUGGCUGAGAAACAGGAUUUUACACAAUGACCCUGAGGUGGAGAAGAAGCAGGGUUGGAUCACAGUUGGAGACCUGGAGGGAUGCAUCCACUACAAAGUUGUGAAAUAUGAAAGAAUCAAGUUCUUGGUGAUUGCCUUAAAGAACGCUGUAGAGAUCUACGCUUGGGCUCCUAAACCAUAUCACAAGUUUAUGGCAUUUAAGUCUUUUUCAGAUCUCCAGCACAAGCCGUUGCUCGUGGAUCUCACUGUGGAAGAGGGUCAGAGGCUGAAGGUCAUCUUUGGAUCCCACACUGGUUUCCAUGUGAUUGAUGUAGAUUCUGGGAACUCCUAUGAUAUCUAUAUUCCAUCUCACAUUCAGGGCAAUAUUACUCCUCACGCCAUUGUCAUCCUGCCCAAGACGGAUGGGAUGGAGAUGCUGGUGUGCUAUGAGGAUGAGGGUGUCUAUGUGAACACCUACGGACGCAUAACUAAAGACGUGGUGCUCCAGUGGGGAGAAAUGCCUACUUCUGUGGCCUACAUUCAUUCCAAUCAAAUAAUGGGCUGGGGAGAGAAAGCUAUUGAGAUCCGGUCAGUGGAGACAGGACAUUUGGACGGAGUAUUUAUGCACAAGAGAGCUCAAAGGUUGAAGUUUCUAUGUGAAAGAAAUGAUAAGGUAUUUUUUGCAUCGGUGAGAUCCGGAGGAAGCAGCCAAGUGUUCUUCAUGACCCUCAACAGAAACUCCAUGAUGAACUGGUAACAGAGGAGCACUUGGCACUCACCGCCAUGGCAUUAUUUCUAAUUUAAAGGACAUUAAACACGUGGACUAACACUGUAGAGGCAGGUGGGGAGGAAGCCCUCCCCACGCUCCCCCGGCGCCGCCAGCCCCGGGGCAGGGACUGCAGCCAGGGAUGGACUUUCACGCUUGGACCCCCCGAGGUCUCCUGAUUACGCUGUGUUAUAGUGGGUUAUGAGUUUUUCCUUUAUUUUAUUUUAUUUUAUUUUUUAGUUUUACUUUUACUUUGUCCCCUACUUUGUAAGAACGGGGAAAGAAACAGUGUCAAAAAGUCUGUUUUUAAUUCUGUCUGCCUGCUAGCAUCAAAUAUAUAGUAUGUUGUAAAGUUACCAAUUAAAUCUGGUGAGAGACAGCACAAUAAAUGUACCUUUUAUCUUUGUGAUGAAGGCCAUAACCAUAUAGCUGGGUAAUUUUAGAAAUCUUUUGCCUUCACCAACAUUUACAUGUUGCUUUUGGCAGCAACGGCUUAACGGAUUUUUAAAGAAGAGAAAAAAUAAUAGGUUUUUUUCCCCUCUUUUGGGAAAUGGAUUUUAAAUGGCUAAACUACUAGCCUUAGACUAAUAAAAAUCAGCUACCAUUUUUGUCAAGUCUGUCAAUCCAUAUUUCUAUAUGGAUCUUCACAUAAUGGUGUGUCUUGAUAGGGACAGAGGUGCCAUUUCUUGUUGCUCCGGAGGUGCCCGCCUGCCCCGGGGCGUGGGGCACCGGGACGGGAUCGGAGGAGGAGAGCAGGGCAGGGCGGUCACAGGAGCCCUGUGCUCUCCCCCAGGGGGACUUGUGACUGCAGAGGCUCCUGGAUGCUGUGGGUGCCCGACCCUGCUGCUGAAGCUGGCACAGGUUGUGGGUGCUGGUUCCCCCUGAGUCUGGAGCCGGGCACUGGCGCCUGCAGGAGCAGCCGGCACAGGGAUGGGGACCACGACACAAGCUGCCUGUCCCUCAUGUUGCUGGAUUGGGCUUGUAAAGAGCUUAAAAAAUUAUAUAUAUGUGUGGUUUCUUCAGCCAAGGGUCUGAAUCUACUCGUUUUCCACCCCCUCCACUCCCUAGGAAUUACCCAACAUACAGUGAAAGACAACAUCUGUGCCGAACCGUGUGUGUGUGUUUAGUUCAGGUUGAAUCGUGUCCUUAUAAACUCUGCUCAGUUGAUUUCCGUUUUGGGUGCGUAUCUGGGGUUUUCUUUCUCAGUAGCUGCAAGCAUGGCCGCCUGUGGUGUUGGGGUGUCGCAUAACAAGGUCUGUGUUGCUGGUUUUAACCUACCUCGUUUCGGUUGGGGUUUGUUUUUUGGUUUGGUUUUGUUUUAUUUUAUUUUUUUCCGUUCCGCUGUCUAUCACAGCGCUGUUACCUCCAGCGACAUAUAGAGAGCUUAACUGGCAAUCUUGGUGUACUCAGUAACGAUGGCUUUAUUAAAAAAUGAUUAAAUCAACAGGACUUGGUCAAACUUGAAUCUUUAUCAAGGGUAAGAGGUGAUGCAGGGUGGCAGGGAUGGGAUGGGCCGGGCCACCCUCACCUGAAGCGUUCUGUGGGCAGGGUGUCAGGGUUUGGUACCGCAGGGAUUGCCAGCAGUGGGACUCCCAGGAUGUGGAGUUCAGGGAAAAACAGGGGGGAUGUGCUUUGUGGUGCCUUCUUCCAGCACCAGGCACCCUCCUGUUGGGAUGGUGCAGUCUGGAGAGAGUAGGGAUGGCCACAGGAUCACAAUACUGGUAUUCAAAUCCCAUCAUGAACACUGAUUGCCACCAGCUCUUUGUAUUUUCAUUGUGGUUAAAAUAAAAAAUCAAAUAAAGCCCAGAGCUUUUAUUGUGUUGCA